CUCCUUAUAUGUUCUGGGCCGCACGCGCACUACACUGAUCCCGACAACGAGCUCAUGCUUACGCAUCCUGGAUUGAAAAGUCCGGGUAAUCUUAUGAGCCGGGAUCGUGAUGGGGAUAGAUGAUUGCAAUUAUUCGCCUUGAACGAGGAAUGUCUAGUAGGCGCGUUUCAUCAGAACGCACCGAUUAUGUCCCUGCCAUUUGUACACACCGCCCGUCGUUGCUACCGAUUGGUUUACUGAUAGAACCAUUUGGAGCGGACCCUCUCGUUCUUCGGUUCGUCUGGGGCUGCAAAAUCUGGUGAUAUUUGUAAACUAGAGGAAGCAAAAGUCGUAACA
rnacentral:rRNA from 1 species